UACGUAGGGUGCAAGCGUUAAUCGGAAUUACUGGGCGUAAAGCGUGCGCAGGCGGCUAUGCAAGACAGAUGUGAAAUCCCCGGGCUCAACCUGGGAACUGCAUUUGUGACUGCAUGGCUAGAGUACGGUAGAGGGGGAUGGAAUUCCGCGUGUAGCAGUGAAAUGCGUAGAUAUGCGGAGGAACACCGAUGGCGAAGGCAAUCCCCUGGACCUUUACUGACGCUCAUGCACGAAAGCGUGGGGAGCAAACAGG
rnacentral:rRNA from 1 species